AGGCCACUGGCGCCGGUCUCCCACACGCUGCCGCACCUUUGGGUUCCAGCCUCACUGCCUGCGACAACCCGGCUCCGCACGACCUUUUAAAGGUAGCUUUUCUGAGCUCAAGGGAAAGGCCCAAAUAUGGGAACCUGGGAAGAAGUAUUGAGAGAGUGGUCCUUUGGGAUAGGAGGUUGAAGAAACAGCAUUUGUUCAGAGUGUGCUAGGCGAGAUCAUGCAUUCGUGUAUGAUUAUUCUAGUAUGAAUCCUUUCACAGGUGAGACACGUGUCCUCUUAAAACUCAAGGCGGGGAAAAACACAGAAGGCCAGCCAGUUCCUGCUGGUGGACAUGCUGAAGGAGGACCUGGGAUGCUAAAGAAACAGCUCACACACAAGGGGAAGGAAGCCCAGGUAGAGGGUAGGGAUCCCUCGAACCUGUCAGCAGACGGAACAUGCGGCUCCUCGUGUGCAGAGAAACAGCUCCAUCAGAGAACACAGCCUGGACCUCCGCCUACUCAUGUGAUGAAGGAACAACAGUAGCCUUGGCAACCCUCCCUUGUGCCACCUACCUGCAGCCAGCUUCUCCCCCACCACCAUCACCAGCAGGUCACUCUGGCCAUCUUUGAUGGCCCUCUAUGGGAGAUAUCACUAUGACCUCAGCUUCCCCCUGGUUGGUUGGCAAGAGUAUCUUGCUACAACCAACCUUUUCAUGGAUACAUGUUCAUAUCAUCUGCGGGCUGGUGAGGUGGACACCUGCCAUCAAGUCUGUCAAGCUGAGUUCUAUCCCUCAGACCAAGGUAAAAGAAGAGAACCAA
rnacentral:lncRNA from 1 species